rnacentral:piRNA from 1 species
AUGAGGACUUUGAAAGUUAGAUUAAAUG